GAAUAACUUGUACCGCCCCAAUUCGAUCUACCUACGUUUUUGUUUUGAGGUUAUAAAGUUCAGGAAAAGGGAACUGAAUAUUUUAUUAGAAAAAUCCUGUGGUCACUGUCACUGGUGAUAAUAAUAUACAGUGUGAGCUGAUUCUUUUCUUGGAUUUUAAACGAAAAAGUUCCAAUAGCCUAAUUACUGAGAUGCCAAAUUUUGAAGCGAAUUUGAAUGAUGCGUUGGAAGUCAGCAAGAGAGAUGACAAAAUUGUUAUGGUAAUUGUUGAAGGCGGUGAUGAAAAGAAGAUCAGUAUAAUUAAAAAUGCAGUUUCAGAGCUGAAUAUGAAGAAAUUUCCAAAUUUGAUUUCUACAAAACUGCCACAGAACUCUCCUCAUUAUUCAGACUUCAUAGAACUCUAUGGCAAUCUAGGAACACCAUGCUUGGCAUUCAUUGAGAAUAAAGGAAUCCCUUUGAAGGUCAUCAAUGGAAUAUCAGACCCUAGAAUCAUGUUGGGCUGUCUUCAAGAAACUGCUCGAUUCUGUAAUGAAAAAGUUGAAUCAAUACGCUCUAGAGAAUCAUUGAAACAAAAACCAGUUGAGAGUGCACCUCUCAUUGAAUCUCCCAAAAAGUAUGAAAAACCAGUUAUUGUCGAAUCCCGCAUUAUAUUUCGGAUGCCUGAUCAUAAUUCAAAGUCGAAUACAUUCAAAUUGGAUGACACAUUGCAAACUCUGAGAAAUUUUGUGGAUACACAAAUGAAACCUCCUUUCAGGUAUGAGCUUGUCACAUACCAUCCAUAUAUACAAUAUCACAAUUUAACAAGUACAAUUCGUGAAUUGAACCUAUUUCCUUCAGCAGCUCUCAUGAUUGUUCCGGUACAAUCCAAAAAUGCAGUGAGUUUGGUAUCAGGAAUUUCAAAUGUAUUGUGGUUCAUGGUGAAUCCAAUUUGGGAUAUUUGUUCUUUCAUAGUGAAUAUGUUUCGACCAACGAGGCAGAAUGUGGCACCUCAACUACCAGUGAGGUCGAAUAGACAACCUAAUCCAACGAGAAGAGGAAACAACGUACACACUCUAAAAGACAGCCGUGAACGUAAAGAUGACGACGAUGAUAACAAAACAUGGAAUGGCAACUCGACACAACAAAUGUGACUGAUAUCGGGAGUUUUUAUUGUAGCUGGUAUAUUUUCAUUCAUGCGAUUCAGCCGUUGGGCUAGUUGGUAGCAACUCCGUUGGAGAAAACAGAUGAGAGCAUGCCUCUCGUCAUCCGCCAUCCUUUUGAGGUUUCUCACUACUAGAAUAACAAUGUAUCGUAACAUAAAUAUAUAUAGAAACAUUACUCACUUUGCAAAGAAUUUCUUUUUAAGAAAGUUUCAAUUUUUAGGUAUCCAAGAUCAGUCAGAAAGUGAACUUAUAUUACAGCAAAUUGAAAAAUCAUUUCAUGUCAAAAUAUCAUUCCAAUGUCAAAUGAUAUAAUAAUUCUUAUGUGUAAAGUAAUCUUGAUAAAUUUGCUGAAAAUAUUAUCUUAUUGAGCCCGCCAUUUCUUUUGGAAAUCUAGAAUUUCAAAGAAAUUCAAGCUCAUUGUGUCUAUGUACAAUUGGCAUGAAUGAAUCUUUUAUAAAUUGGAAUAAUGAAGCCAGUAUUACAAUGAAACAAUAUUUGAAAGUUAUUGAAUUGAAAAAUCACACCACAGUAGUUUAUCGCUAGAAAUCUACUAUUUUCACACGAUUAUUUCAUCCAUUUUUUUAAAUAAAAUCCAUCAUUGAUGCUAUGGAAAUACAUGUCAGAAAAAUAUGUAUAUAUUGUAUUUUAAAAUUCAGAUUGUGGGGUUGUCAUUUGUGGAAAGAUUACAAACCACUACUUUACUACUAUUACCUACAUUAUUCUAAUUAUUCAUUUUGAAACGUUUGACUAUAUGAUAAACGUAUUUCUUGAUUAAAUUAAGUAAUUGCAUUGACAUGUUCAAAUAAAUAAAUAUUUCUAUUAUGUUGAAUAAAAAAUUAUAAUAAAUCA
rnacentral:misc_RNA from 1 species